rnacentral:tRNA from 1 species
UCCCUGGUGGCUCAGCUGGUAAAGAAUCUGCCUGCAAUGCAGAAAACCCUGAUUCGACUCCUGGGUUGGGAA